GUGUCUGCUCUGGCUGCGGAAAUCCGUUGACUCAGAGAGUUUGCGGCAAGGAGAUUCUUAAAACUUGAUCACUGAAAGUAGGAUUUGGCCGCGUGGAAUUGAGAGAACACAGGCAGUUCACACCUCAUGGGAUGAGGAAACGGAAACAGCCCAGACUACACAGAGGCAACUGGUCAAGGAUCAAAACAGUAACAAAGAUUACUAUGGUUGGUCUAAUGUUCUCCAGAGACCAUCUGGAUCAUCCAGAGGAGGAUUGGGAGAAUGUUGUGUGGUAAGAUGGGACCAAAAUGUAACUCUUUGAUAUAGAUGCCACUCACCACACAUGGAAGAUAAAGCAUGAUGUUUUGCAUAACCACUGUAAAGCAUAAGGGUGGAGAAAUCAUGCUUUGGGGCUCUUUUUCUAAGAAGCAAACAUGAAGACUGAUUUGUCCAAUAAACUGUGAUAC